UUAGAUACCCUAUUAUACUAGCGUUAACCUGAAUUAUUAUUAGAUAUUUUCUUAAAAGUUAAAGAAUUUGGCGGUAAUUUAGUCUUGUUAGAGGAACCUGUUUUUGAAUCGAUACACCACGAAUAAUCUUACUUAUCCUUAAUAACUAAAGCAAAGUUUUUAUACCAUCAUUAUCAGAUAAUUUUAAAAGGGUAAUUAUUACUAUCUAAUAAAUUAAGUAAAAUUAGAUCAAGGUGAAGCUAAUGGGUAAGUUAAAAUGGGUUACAAUAAAUUUUAUUUACUAUGAAUUAAUAUUUUAAACUAAUAUUAUAAAAGAGGAUUUAAUUGUAAUUAAAAUUUAAUAAGUUUUGAAGAUAUAAGCCCUAAAUUAUGUACAUAUCGCCG
rnacentral:rRNA from 1 species